rnacentral:tRNA from 1 species
CCUGGUGGCUGAAUGGUAAAGAAUCUGCCUGCAAUGCAGGAGACCUGGGUUUGAUCCCUGGGUCAGGA